AUGGCCGAGUGGUCUAAGGCGCCAGACUCAAGUUCUGGUCCUCUUACGAGGGCGUGGGUUCAAACCCCACUUCUGACAUUUAUUUUUUAUUCCCUUUUUUCUGCAUUAUUUCACCAUCUUUAUACUUGUUUUUUGAAGCUUUCAGGCUUUUAUUCCAGGUUAAGGCAUGUCACAGAGAGCAAAAUGCAGGACUGCACAUUGAGAUUAGUGAUACACUCUAUGGCAGGACAAGAUCCCCUGUCAUGCCUAACACCUAAACAAGUGACAAUAUAA
rnacentral:rRNA from 1 species